CCCAGGAGCUCCUUUCCCUCCUUCUCUGCUGAUGUCCAGAAAUAAUAACAACCUCUUUCAUUUGUGUGACUCAAGGAGCAAACGGAUCCCUGCAGUCCCUGAGCCCUCAAAGCUUGUUGUAUCAUCCACGGCCACUAGAGGGCUUCUCCACCGCAUUUUGAGCCCAGGCUACUUCACACUUCCAGGCUUGAAAUUGAAAGAGGAGUCACCCUAGAGGCCCUAGGCAGCCUACCACUGAGACCUUGCAGUCAAACCGCAGCUUGUCUUCCAGCUGGAGCAGGUGUGUGUGUGCAUGCACAGGCGUAUGAGUGUGUGUGCAUGCAUGU